rnacentral:tRNA from 1 species
AUUUAUGUAGUUUAAUAAAAACAUUACAUUUUCACUGUAAAAAUAUUAUUUACAAGUAAUCAUAAAAU